GAUUGACAAGACUAGAUUUCCCUCGGAAAAUAGAAGCAGCGCAAGGGCCCUCAGGAGGACAGACACGGGAGCCUACAUCAACCAUUGACCAACCUCUUAUAGGUGACAAGUCCUCCAAGAACCAAGUUGGCAAGAAAGUGCACUGGGAGUUUUUGACAGACAGUCCUCAAGAACUUACCCUUCAAGAUAAUGAAGUAGUAAUAUCAUGCGGCAUCAGAUUCUCGCCUUCUGGAGCCAAGCUCAGCGAAACUAUCAAGGUCACAUUGGACCAUAAUGCACAUUUCACCAAUCCAAGACGUGCAGAGAUCGUCUUCUACACCCGCAACAAAGACUCAACAACUUUUGUGAGAAUUCCCGCAUCCACCAACGGUUGUCCACGUUGUGACGUCAGAUCGAAGGACUUGGAUCUAUAUGUAGAUCAUUUCAGUGAUUGGUGGAUUGUGGCCUUAAUCAAACGGUACUUCGUCGGAAAGAGGGUCGAGUGCACGCCAUAUGUACAACCACCUGUCACGAAAGGAUUAACGCACUUAGUGCUACUCUGCAUAUAUGAUGAUCUCGUUGAUGUCAUUAAG